UCCCUGGAGGACUAGUGGUUAGGCCUCAGUACUCUCGCCGCCAUACCCCGGGUUUGAUUCCUGGCCAGGGAA
rnacentral:tRNA from 1 species